rnacentral:rRNA from 1 species
CCCGCUGAACUUAAGCAUAUCAAUAAGCGGAGGAAAAGAAACUAACAAGGAUUCCCCUAGUAACUGCGAGUGAAGCGGGAAAAGCUCAAAUUUAAAAUCUGGUGGCCUUCAGCCAUCCGAGUUGUAAUUUAGAGAAGCGUCUUCCGCGCUGGACCGUGCACAAGUCUCCUGGAAUGGAGCGUCGUAGAGGGUGAGAAUCCCGUCUUUGGCACGGACGCACCAGGGCUUCUGUGAUGCGCUCUCGAAGAGUCGAGUUGUUUGGGAAUGCAGCUCAAAAUGGGUGGUGAACUCCAUCUAAAGCUAAAUAUUGGCGAGAGACCGAUAGCGAACAAGUACCGUGAGGGAAAGAUGAAAAGCACUUUGGAAAGAGAGUGAAACAGUACGUGAAAUUGUUGAAAGGGAAACGCUUGAAGUCAGUCGCGUCGCCCGAGACUCAGCCUCGCCUUGGCUUGGUGUACUUCUCGGCCGACGGGUCAGCAUCAAUUUUGCCCCUUGGAUAAUGGUGAGUGAAAUGUGACACCUUCACGGGUGUGUUAUAGUCUCUCGUCGCAUGCAAGGGUCGGGAUUGAGGAACUCAGCACGCGCCUUCGGGCGUCGGGGUUCGCCCACGAUACGUGCUUAGGAUGCUGGCAUAAUGGCCUUGAGCGACCCGUCUUGAAACACGG